GAUGAACGCUGGCGGCGUGCCUAAUACAUGCAAGUCGAGCGAACAGACGAGGAGCUUGCUCCUCUGACGUUAGCGGCGGACGGGUGAGUAACACGUGGAUAACCUACCUAUAAGACUGGGAUAACUUCGGGAAACCGGAGCUAAUACCGGAUAAUAUAUUGAACCGCAUGGUUCAAUAGUGAAAGACGGUUUUGCUGUCACUUAUAGAUGGAUCCGCGCCGCAUUAGCUAGUUGGUAAGGUAACGGCUUACCAAGGCAACGAUGCGUAGCCGACGUGAGAGGGUGAUCGGCCACCCUGGAACUGAGCCACGGUCCAGAGUCCUACGGGAGGCAGAAGUAGGUAAUCUUCCGCAAUGGGGGAAAGCCUGAAGGAGCAACGCCGCGUGAGUGAUGAAGGUCUUCGGAUCGUAAAACUCUGUUAUUGGGGAAAAACAAAUGUGUAAGUAACUAUGCACGUCUUGACGGUACCUAAUAAGAAAGCCACGGCUAACUACGUG
rnacentral:rRNA from 1 species